rnacentral:tRNA from 1 species
AGCUAUUUAGCUUAUAAUAAAGCGUUUACUUUGAAAGUAAAAUUAAAGGUAUUAACUUAUUAGCUU